GAUGAACGCUAGCGGCAGGCUUAAUACAUGCAAGUCGUGGGGCAGCAUGAAUGUAGCAAUACAUUUGAUGGCGACCGGCAAACGGGUGCGGAACACGUACACAACCUUCCUAUAAGUGGGGAAUAGCCCAGAGAAAUUUGGAUUAAUACCCCGUAACAUAACGAUGUGGCAUCACAUUGUUAUUAUAGCUUCGGCGCUUAUUGAUGGGUGUGCGGCUGAUUAGAUAGUUGGCGGGGUAACGGCCCACCAAGUCUACGAUCAGUAGCUGAUGUGAGAGCAGGAGCAGCCACACGGGAACUGGGACACGGGCCCGACUCCUACGGGAGGCAGCAGUAAGGAAUAUUGGUCAAUGGACGCAAGUCUGAACCAGCCAUGCCGCGUGAAGGAUUAAGGUCCUCUGGAUUGUAAACUUCUUUUAUCUGGGACGAAAAAAGGCUUUUCUAAGUCACUUGACGGUACCAGAUGAAUAAGCACCGGCUAACUCCGUGCCAGCCGCCGCCGUAACAC
rnacentral:rRNA from 1 species